rnacentral:rRNA from 1 species
AAUAGAUACCCGGGUAGUCCACGCCGUAAACGUUGGAUACUAGGUGUGGCGGUUAUACCAAUGACUGCCGUGCCGAAGCUAACGCAUUAAGUAUCCCGCCUGGGGAGUACGGCCGCAAGGCUAAAACUCAAAGGAAUUGACGGGUCCCCGCACAAGCGGCGGAGCAUGCGGCUUAAUUCGAUGCAACCCGAAGAACCUUACCUGGGUUUGACAUCACGGGAAAAGCUGUAGAAAUACAGUGUCCAUUAGGGCCCGUGACAGGUGGUGCAUGGCUGUCGUCAGCUCGUGUCGUGAGAUGUUGGGUUAAGUCCCGCAACGAGCGCAACCCUUGUCCUAUGUUGCCAGCGGUUCGGCCGGGGACUCAUAGGAGACUGCCGGGGAUAACUCGGAGGAAGGUGAGGACGACGUCAAGUCAUCAUGCCCCUUAUAUCCAGGGCUGCACGCAUGCUACAAUGGCCGGUACAACGGGCAGCGACCCCGCGAGGGUGAGCGAAUCCUAAAAGCCGGUCCUAGUUCGGAUUGAAGUCUGCAACUCGA